GAGUUUGAUCUUGGCUCAGAUUGAACGCUGGCGGCAUGCCUUACACAUGCAAGUCGAACGGCGGCACGGGAGCUUGCUCCUGGUGGCGAGUGGCGAACGGGUGAGUAAUGCAUCGGAACGUAUCCUGGAGUGGGGGAUAACGUAGCGAAAGUUACGCUAAUACCGCAUAUUCUGUGAGCAGGAAAGCGGGGGACCUUCGGGCCUCGCGCUCUUGGAGCGGCCGAUGUCGGAUUAGCUAGUUGGUGAGGUAAAGGCUCACCAAGGCGACGAUCCAUAGCAGGUCUGAGAGGAUGAUCUGCCACACUGGAACUGAGACACGGUCCAGACUCCUACGGGAGGCAGCAGUGGGAAUUUUGGACAAUGGGGGCAACCCUGAUCCAGCCAUGCCGCGUGAGUGAAGAAGGCC
rnacentral:rRNA from 1 species